rnacentral:rRNA from 1 species
AGUGAACGCUGGCGGUAGUCCUAACACAUGCAAGUCGAACGGCAGCACAGUAAGAGCUUGCUCUUACGGGUGGCGAGUGGCGGACGGGUGAGGAAUACAUCGGAAUCUACUUUUUCGUGGGGGAUAACGUAGGGAAACUUACGCUAAUACCGCAUACGGCCUACGGGUGAAAGCAGGGGAUCUUCGGACCUUGCGCGAUUGAAUGAGCCGAUGUCGGAUUAGCUAGUUGGCGGGGUAAAGGCCCACCAAGGCGACGAUCCGUAGCUGGUCUGAGAGGAUGAUCAGCCACACUGGAACUGAGACACGGUCCAGACUCCUACGGGAGGCAGCAGUGGGGAAUAUUGGACAAUGGGCGCAAGCCUGAUCCAGCCAUACCGCGUGGGUGAAGAAGGCCUUCGGGUUGUAAAGCCCUUUUGUUGGGAAAGAAAAGCAGCAGGUUAAUACCCCGCUGUUCUGACGGUACCCAAAGAAUAAGCACCGGCUAACUUCGUG